UCGCGAAAACUUUGCAAUACACGAAAGUGUGACAGGGUCAUCCCGAGUGCCGACCGCUGAGGUUGGCUUUUACCCAGUCUAGAAAGCUGGGGGAAUAAGGAGAGGGCAAGUCUGGUGUCAGCCGCCGCGGUAAUACCAGCUCUCCGAGUGGUGUGGACGUUUAUUGGGCCUAAAGCAUCCGUAGCUGGCUGAACAAGUCCCCUGUUAAACCCACCGAUUUAAUCGUUGGUCUGCGGGGGAUACUGCUCGGCUAGGGGACGAGAGAGGCAGGCGGUAUUCUCGGGGUAGGGGUGAAAUCCUAUAAUCCCGGGAAGACCACCAGUGGCGAAGGCUGCCUGCUAGAGCGCGCCCGACGGUGAGGGAUGAAAGCUGGGGGAGCGAACCGGAUUAGAUACCCGGGUAGUCCCAGCUGUAAACGAUGCAGACUAGGUGUUUGGACGGCCACGUGCCGUUCUAGUGCCGCAGGGAAGCUGUUAAGUCUGCCGCCUGGGGAGUACGAUCGCAAGAUUGAAACUUAAAGGAUUGGCGGGGG
rnacentral:rRNA from 1 species